rfam:Methylobacterium sp. Leaf93 contig_2, whole genome shotgun sequence.
GACUCCGUAGCUCAGCUGGAUAGAGCAGCCGCCUUCUAAGCGGCAGGUCGUUGGUUCGAGCCCAACCGGGGUCG